rnacentral:rRNA from 1 species
GAUGAACGCUGGCGGCGUGCCUAAUACAUGCAAGUCGAGCGAACAGACGAGGAGCUUGCUCCUCUGACGUUAGCGGCGGACGGGUGAGUAACACGUGGAUAACCUACCUAUAAGACUGGGAUAACUUCGGGAAACCGGAGCUAAUACCGGAUAAUAUAUUGAACCGCAUGGUUCAAUAGUGAAAGACGGUUUUGCUGUCACUUAUAGAUGGAUCCGCGCCGCAUUAGCUAGUUGGUAAGGUAACGGCUUACCAAGGCGACGAUGCGUAGCCGACCUGAGAGGGUGAUCGGCCACACUGGAACUGAGACACGGUCCAGACUCCUACGGGAGGCAGCAGUAGGGAAUCUUCCGCAAUGGGCGAAAGCCUGACGGAGCAACGCCGCGUGAGUGAUGAAGGUCUUCGGAUCGUAAAACUCUGUUAUUAGGGAAGAACAAAUGUGUAAGUAACUAUGCACGUCUUGACGGUACCUAAACAGAAAGCCACGGCUAACUACGUG